rnacentral:misc_RNA from 3 species
AACGCACCUUGCACUCUUUGGUAUUCCGAAGAGUAUGUCUGUUUGAGUGUCGUGAAACUCUCAACCCCCCUAUUUUGUAAUGAGAUGGGCUGUGGGCUUGGAUUAUGGCUGUUUGUCGGACCGUUAGGACCGGCUCAGCUGAAAUGCACGAGCGGACACGUACUUAAGAAAUAAAGCGACGGCUUGACUCGGCGUAAUAAUUUUAUCUCGCUGAGGACGUUUAGCACCUUUUCACUAGUAUUGAUUCCGCUACCAACGCGAAUGUAAAUUCAUUUUUACUUUAGACCUCAAAUCAGGCAGGGCUACCCGCUGAACUUAA